rnacentral:lncRNA from 1 species
AUGGAGUCCAUCAUGAAGAAGAUGGAAGACAAACCCAUACUGGCAAUGAUCAUGAUGACCAGGCCAACAAGUAAGAGAGCAAGCAUGAAGAAGCUGAUGGUGAGGCAAUGGAGAGAAGAUGUUAGACCAGGCCUGACUGCAACACAGUGGGUCUCACCAACAAAGGCAUUCACAAUAUGUCCUCCCGAAGCAUUAGAGAGAAGAACCACCAGAUGUCCACAGGCAUGUUUUCUGUUCCAGCCAGGACCAGCUCUAUUCCGAAUGGAGACUUGUCCUGUUGGCAUAUGUGUUCUCAGGGGAACAUACUAAGGUAUAGCUGACUUCCUGGGUGGGGGGGUGGGUAUCCUCAUCUCUGCCCCGAUUUCCCACACUUCUCUCAGGGUUAUACCUUUGAGA